rnacentral:rRNA from 1 species
AGUGAACGCUGGCGGUAGGCCUAACACAUGCAAGUCGAACGGCAGCACAGGAGAGCUUGCUCUCUGGGUGGCGAGUGGCGGACGGGUGAGGAAUACAUCGGAAUCUACUCUGUCGUGGGGGAUAACGUAGGGAAACUUACGCUAAUACCGCAUACGACCUACGGGUGAAAGCAGGGGACCUUCGUGCCUUGCGCGAUUGAAUGAGCCGAUGUCGGAUUAGCUAGUUGGCGGGGUAAAGGCCCACCAAGGCGACGAUCCGUAGCUGGUCUGAGAGGAUGAUCGGCCACACUGGAACUGAGACACGGUCCAGACUCCUACGGGAGGCAGCAGUGGGGAAUAUUGGACAAUGGGAGCAAGCCUGAUCCAGCCAUACCGCGUGGGUGAAGAAGGCCUUCGGGUUGUAAAGCCCUUUUGUUGGGAAAGAAAUCCAGCUGGCUAAUACCCGGUUGGGAUGACGGUACCCAAAGAAUAAGCACCGGCUAACUUCGUGCCAGCCGCCGCCGUAA